CAGUAGCCGCGGUAAAACGGAGGGGGCUAGCGUUGUUCGGAAUUACUGGGCGUAAAGCGCACGUAGGCGGCUUGGUAAGUUAGAGGUGAAAGCCUGGAGCUCAACUCCAGAAUUGCCUUUAAGACUGCCGAGCUAGCAGGUGAGAGAGGUAAGUGGAAUUCCGAGUGUAGAGGUGAAAUUCGUAGAUAUUCGGAAGAACACCAGUGGCGAAGGCGGCUUACUGGCUCAUACUGGACGCUGAGGUGCGAAAGCGUGGGGAGCAAACAGGAUUAGAUACCCGGGUAGUCCCUGUCUCUUAUAC
rnacentral:rRNA from 1 species